rnacentral:rRNA from 1 species
GAUGAACGCUAGCGGCAGGCCUAAUACAUGCAAGUCAAGGGGUUCAGCAAUGGACACCGGCGGACGGGUGCGUAACACGUACACAACGUACCCAAGGGCGGGGGAAAGCGGCGGGAAACUGCCGGUAAUACCCCAUGGCGUUGUAGAAUGGCAUCAUUUUACAACUAAAGUACAAGCGCCCUUGGAUCGGUGUGCGCCCGAUUAGCUUGUUGGCGGGGUAACGGCCCACCAAGGCUUCGAUCGGUAGGGGGUGUGAGAGCAUGGCCCCCCACACGGGUACUGAGACACGGACCCGACUCCUACGGGAGGCAGCAGUAAGGAAUAUUGGACAAUGGGCGGAAGCCUGAUCCAGCCAUGCCGCGUGAAGGAUGAAGGCGCUCAGCGUUGUAAACUUCUUUUGGAUGGGAAUAAUAACCUCGACUUGUCGAGACUUGAAGGUACCAUCAGAAUAAGCACCGGCUAACUCCGUGCCAGCAGCCGCGGUAAAGUCGAUAU